GGUUGUAUAGUGUAGUUGGUUAUCAUAUCGGAUUCUGAUGUCCUGCAUCUGAACUUCCGGGGACCUGAGUUCGAAUCUCGGUACGACCU